rnacentral:rRNA from 1 species
GACGAACGCUGGCGGCGUGCUUAACACAUGCAAGUCGAACGGAAAGGCCCUGCUUUUGUGGGGUGCUCGAGUGGCGAACGGGUGAGUAACACGUGAGUAACCUGCCCUUGACUUUGGGAUAACUUCAGGAAACUGGGGCUAAUACCGGAUAGGAGCUCCUGCUGCAUGGUGGGGGUUGGAAAGUUUCGGCGGUUGGGGAUGGACUCGCGGCUUAUCAGCUUGUUGGUGGGGUAGUGGCUUACCAAGGCUUUGACGGGUAGCCGGCCUGAGAGGGUGACCGGCGACAUUGGGACUGAGAUACGGCCCAGACUCCUACGGGAGGCAGCAGUGGGGAAUAUUGCGCAAUGGGCGGAAGCCUGAUGCAGCAACGCCGCGUGCGGGAUGACGGCCUUCGGGUUGUAAACCGCUUUCGCCUGUGACGAAGCGUGAGUGACGGUAAUGGGUAAAGAAGCACCGGCUAACUACGUG